rnacentral:misc_RNA from 1 species
AAUGAUAUGUCAACGUGACCUAUCAAAAUUCAACUAACAUCUUUUGAAAUCUACAAGAGAAAGAGGAAGAUCGAAGAACAUAAGCACAAGGGCAAAUUUCUUAUUCUGAUGGCAUUUUUCUAAAAUCCACAAAGUCAAAUAAUAGAAAGAAGAAUUGAAUUAACAAUAUGCAGAUGUAGAUCAGUACAUACACUACAUCAACAAUCACUUCAUUCAUA